rfam:Gossypium hirsutum cultivar TM-1 unplaced genomic scaffold scaffold1251.1, whole genome shotgun sequence
UGUUAAAAAUUUCAUCCAUUUCUACUAUUAAAAAUUGGUAUGACUGACAAAAUAACUAAAUAGCUACACGUACCUUAUACUGACAUGCAUGAACUAGUUUUUAAUAGUAGAAAUGGAUAAAAUUUUUAAUA